rnacentral:rRNA from 1 species
GUCGAACGGAAAGGCCCAGCUUGCUGGGUGCUCGAGUGGCGAACGGGUGAGUAACACGUGGGUGAUCUGCCCUGCACUUUGGGAUAAGCCUGGGAAACUGGGUCUAAUACCGGAUACACCUCGCUGGCUGCAUGGUUGGUGGGGGAAAGCUUUUGCGGUGUGGGAUGGGCCCGCGGCCUAUCAGCUUGUUGGUGGGGUGAUGGCCUACCAAGGCGACGACGGGUAGCCGGCCUGAGAGGGUGUCCGGCCACACUGGGACUGAGAUACGGCCCAGACUCCUACGGGAGGCAGCAGUGGGGAAUAUUGCACAAUGGGCGCAAGCCUGAUGCAGCGACGCCGCGUGGGGGAUGACGGCCUUCGGGUUGUAAACCUCUUUCAAUAGGGACGAAGCGCAAGUGACGGUACCUAUAGAAGACGCACCGGCCAACUACGUGCCAGCAGCCSGGG